rnacentral:rRNA from 1 species
GACGAACGCUGGCGGCGUGCUUAACACAUGCAAGUCGAACGGAAAGGCCCAGCUUGCUGGGUGCUCGAGUGGCGAACGGGUGAGUAACACGUGGGUGAUCUGCCCCUAACUUCGGGAUAAGCUUGGGAAACUGGGUCUAAUACCGGAUAGGACAAUCGUUUAGUGUCGGUUGUGGAAAGUUUUUUCGGUUAGGGAUGAGCCCGCGGCCUAUCAGCUUGUUGGUGGGGUAAUGGCCUACCAAGGCGUCGACGGGUAGCCGGCCUGAGAGGGUGGACGGCCACAUUGGGACUGAGAUACGGCCCAGACUCCUACGGGAGGCAGCAGUGGGGAAUAUGGCACAAUGGGCGCAAGCCUGAUGCAGCGACGCCGCGUGGGGGAUGACGGCCUUCGGGUUGUAAACCUCUUUCGACAGGGACGAAGCUUGGUGACGGUACCUGUAUAAGAAGCACCGGCUAACUACGUG